rnacentral:miRNA from 1 species
UGUCUGGCUCGAGGCCCCUA